AAUAGUAUUCACCACGUCAAGGUAUGGCAAGCCGGUCCUCCUGAUCGGCGGUCGGAGGUUCAACCGCUACCACAAGUGUAACUCCGCUCGUGUGCGCUGGGUCUGCACCAGGACCUCGACAGGCUGCAAGGCCACAGUCCUCACUUUCGAUAACAAGAUUAUUCAGAUCUGUAAUCCACACAAUCACUGCUAAAGCUAUUGAUCACUCUUAUUAAGAUAGCAGAAAGGCGAUGGAUGAAGACAGCUACCAACCGCCCAAAUCAGGAAAUCAUUGGCGCUUAUGUUCAGUAGUGGAUGUUAUUUAAAAUUUGCCUUAUUUCACGACAUCCAAAUUCGGGAAGCCUGUCCUACAAAUGGGCAUGCACAGGUAUAAUCGGCACUCUCAAUACAAGGGGCCUAAGGUCAGAUGGGUGUGCACCAGGAUCGCUUCUGGGUGCAAGGCAUACGUCACUACGCUAUUUGAUAAGAUCAUCAGUAUAAAUCAUGGCCAUAGUCACAAAUAAUGAAAUAAUAUAAC